GGAAGCGAUAGUAUGCGCCAUGUAGAUGGACUGUGGGAAGAAUAAAAAGGCCCAGCCGGUCCGCAUGCAGAAAGGUCUUCUCAACAGUAUCCCACCUACAUUUAUGGGCUUUGAACUUGUCGAGUAGCUGAUAUACAUACAUAGCGAAGCAGCUUCUUAUCCGAUCAUGAUAAUAUGAACACAUGUUCAAAAGGCAUUUUCUGAGUAUGACUUCUUUUUCCAACUUUCCAACGGUAUUACCCUCGAAAGCAUAGGUCAAGGAAGACACCUCUUUUUGAAAGCUUAGUAACAGCUUUGUCGAUUCGUCCAAGGAGCAACGUAACAGGAGUUCUUCUGUUUAUAUUUCAACGAAAAUAUAAGUUUCCGGACAGCACUCAAGCGGUUGCAGCAUUCAGCGCACUUGCAGGUUUAUCGCAACGAAUUUUACGAGGGGUUUCUGAAGCCUGCCGCAUUGUGCGUGUAGUUAUAUACAGACACCUUUAUAGUCUCUGUUCAAAGAAGCAAAAACACUGGUGCAACACUGCGUGAGUGCGGGCACAGAAACAAAUAAAAACAAAAGGUCAAGAAAAAAUUUUAAUAUACAUACAUAUAAGUAUAAUGAAUAUUGAUUGACUGAUUGGAUUAAAGAAAAAAAUAAAGCGAAACACCGAAACAGAAA